UGCCACUCUCCUCUUUCCGCCGCCUCCACGCUCGCUUCCUCCUCCAUCCUCCCGCGUCAGUCGCACCCCCUCCUCCCCUCCCGCAUCUCGUCCACCCUGGGAUCCAGCGAGGUCGGGUCCUCGAGCCAUGGAGGCACUCGUCGCUGGGCCCUCGCCGUUGGCCUCCCGUGCGUCGCACCGCCUCCUCCCGCCUCGGCUCUCACCUCCAGCUGCAGCUCUAGAGGAGAGGAGAAGACAGUGACAGAGAGAUGGCUGCGUUGGCGCUGGCGGCCCCGCCCUCGCCUUUUCCUCCUCCUCACCUUCCCAUCGCUCAUGCGCAAGUCGACCGACGGCAGGGAUGGUCAGGAAGGUUUCCCAGCCCGACAGUGCCGUCAUGGGAGUUGCAGGGAGGAGGUGAGGAUGCGUCACGCGCGGACUGGAUCGAGGGUGCCAUGCCGCCGCCACGAGUCAACUCCACCGUUGUCACCAGGAAUCCGUCCCCAGCAAGGUCUCGCUCGUUGCUGCUCCUCCUACAAUCUCUCCCACAAUGGCAUACAGGAGGAGCAGAAGGGGCCACGGAUGAGGAGGAAGGAGACUAGCAGGAGGAGGAGAUAUUCUUGUUCGAUUUGGUUCUCAUGCUGGCAUCUCCCUGCUGUCUGCUUUCCUUUUAGUUUCCAACUUUGAUGCUUGGAUUUGUUGACUUGGCCAUCAGGAGUGGGAGGAGACAGGGAGGAUGAGGAAGGAGACAAGCAAGAGGAAGAGAAAAUCUUGCUCGCCUUAUGGACUCGCAAUAAACAGGUCCACAGGAAAAAUUCCUGAACGAUUUUGGUAUCCCCAGAUUUUUCUUCCCCGCGAUGAGGUUAUACUUAGCCUACCCUCUGUCCCUGUGUGUGUAGAUUUGCAGAGAUCAGCGAGGAUUUGUGCGGCAGGGAGGGCACUGGUGAUAGGAAACAUGGGUCCAAGAAGUAAUCAAAGAGCAUGAUCGUUUCAAGGUCGCUGCUGCUAAAUCAUGUAAGGAUGGCGCAAAACUCACAUGAGGGAAAAGACGAACUGCGGUAACCAAAUCAACAGCUGAUAAGGCUUAGUGUUCUUGAAAGCCGCUUAGUGUUCCAAUGAAUAAUUGUCGCUGGUGUGGUGCACGCCUUCAUUGUUUGGUGGGCUGCUUCCUGCCUGGUGUGGUUGAAGAAUUUUCAGAGAUGUAUGUACCAUGAUUAUUGAGGAGGCGUAUGAAAUAAAUCUGAAGAAAAUAAGUAAGUCGCCUUCAUCAGCGAGGCUGCGAACAACUCGUGGUGCCCCUGUUAACCUCCUCAAUGUUUGCGUUGUUUGCCUGUCGGUCAAAUGCCCACUAUUCAGCAGACAGAUACAGUGUCCAGAUCGUUUAGGAACCAGCGUUACUUCAAAAAAAGAUAGGACCUGAUACACAUUACAUUCAUGGACUACUGAUAUACCUGAUGCAUUUCUUCAUGAUGGGCAGGAAGCAAAUCUUAUGCAUGAGGGAGUAGAUCUUGCAAUUGAAGUCGUAUCUCCUGCAGAGGAGGAGCAACGAUGGGGUGGAAGCUACAGGGUGAGUGAGAGAGUGCAGAAGGAGGGGAUGGAUAAGGUCAUGUCGUCAGCAAGUGAGUAGGUUUUUUUUGAGAAAAGCAAGAAGUGGAUGCUAUCAAGAUCAUGCCAAAGGCGAUGCUCAUUCCCGUUCUUAGUGAGAUGGGUUUACUCGAUGCAAAGUAUGAGCAUUGCAGACUCUGGCGAGCUGCUGAAGGUCGACGAGGAGGGCAACGCCGCCACCGUCAUCAGGCUGGUCCACAUCCACGCACAAAUCCGCAUGCCCAGGCUGUUCAACAUUUUCUUUCGCUUUUGGUGUGUCACAUUUAGAGUCUUUCUUUCCCAUUUUACCAUGUUUGCAUGGUAAGAUGUUUUGUUGGAUUUGAAGGUUCGUAGCCUUGGCUCCAAAGCUUCAAGCUCUUGCAUAAUAGUGUUGUUCAGUGGGAUGCAGAAUUUUUGUUUGUCUGAUCGGCUAUCCUUGGUGCUGAUUUACGUACUGAUUUCAUCAUCAUAUAUAACUACAAUAAAGAAGCUGUGUGUAUAAAUAUUAUUAACUGCUGAUACUUUGCAUCAGUGAUUUCAA